rnacentral:lncRNA from 1 species
AAAUUAGAAGUAAAUUUGAAGAAUGAUAUAUCAGAUGAGGAAUGCAUCACUGAUAAACUAUUAGUGCUCUCUCUGGGUGCUUAACCAUCAAAUGCCUAUACAUCAGGUAAUUGCUUAUAUCUAUAUCAAAUGCAAUGUAAUUUGUGGCAUCUCCAAUUUUGGCCCAGGUUUUCCAAUUGUGUUGAUAUGAAAGUGAUUAAUGCAGUUGUCACAGUGGACAGAAAUUAUCACAUCUGCUGUAAAUUUAUUGAUAUGAACAUUAUUCAGCUGUUUAAACAUUUAGCUUCUCUUUCAGAGGAUAUCUAGCAAUAUAGACUUAGAAUCUCUAUUAGGAGUAUGGGGUUUGAAUUCCACUGGAUUUUGUCGGAGAAUUUUAUUGGAGGGGGGAGAGCUACUCUUCAUUGUGUAGCUCAUCCAAUGAACCAAUGAAAGAAAGGAAGAAAAACAUUUAGCUUGAAUAUAAUGUUUGGAACUUAAAAUGCCCUUUUCUUUUUUGUUGUAUAUUAUCAAAUGAAUUUGACUUUGUAUCCAAUUUGGGGCUCUCCUUUUGUGGAUUUCCGUAGCCAUUUGUAAAGUUGGCUACAUGUCUAGUCUACUCUUUUUUUGAGACUUUUAUGCUUAGGAUAUAGGAAACACAUUCAUAUGGAGUUGCAUCCUACUUUGAAAUUUAAUUCAUCCAUUUAUUGUAGAGAGAGUAUUUUUGGUCUGGUUGCUUUGCAAGGAAGGUGUACAUGUCUGAAUACAUCUUCAUUUACUCUCUCAUUAUUGCUGUUUCAUGAACUUCCAUUCUGAACAUUGUCUUCUGAAAGAGCCUGGUCUUCCAUUCUGAACAUUGUCUUCUGAAAGAGCCUGGUCCAAACCCAAAUAACUUUUGUACUCACUUUCGAUUUGGCUUAAAAUGAUUAACCUAAAUUAUUUAGUAAUUUCGUGCUAGCUAUAUACAAUUUUAAUUUUUCAUAAACAGCUAAUGUGGAAUUCUUUCGUAAACCGCCUGAUGGGUGAUUCUUUCCCAGCAGGCAGCUGAACGUGUCACAUCUUCUGAUCUAAACUUUUCUUCCUCCACGUAGUGAUUACUUAUUCCUGCAAGUUUGUAGAAUUUGGACAAACAAGGGGAAGUAUUAGUGACAGGGUGGCAGAUGUAGGUAACCGCGUGGAUAGUAAUAGGAAAGCACUGGAUAUUCUUAUUUUCAUUAUUGUAAUUAUUGUGUUUUAGCAUGCCCCUUUAUCCUUGGAUUUCCUUUGUUUGAUGCCCCCUCUUCAGAUUUUAAAGUGGUAAAAUAAUUUAUUUUGAAAUUCCAUGCCAUCGAUCAACAAUAAAGCAGUUAGGAAGCUCGAUACAAACAUUCUUCAGGUAUUACCAGAGGAAAGAUGCUCUAUUUUGAAAUUGUGUGCCAUCGAUUGACAAUGAACCUGCUGGAAACCUCCCCGUUACAGAUAUUAAAAAAGCGAACUGAAUCAUUACGAAGAACUUCUAUCUGCCUGUGAAGGUAAGUCCAAUGUCAUUCUCUUUACUGUUGCUUUUAACAGACUACAAGGACCGUUAACACUCAUUAUAUUUAUAUUUUUAUUUUUAUUUUUGGGUAAGUUCAAGUAAUAUCAGAACAUUUUGCAUACAGUUCUUAUUUCAUCCGCAUUGUUGCACUUUAUGCGAUACAUUACAAGCCCACAAAAUAUCCUGUUGUGCACUUCAAAGCCCAAGAGUUGAGGAAUCAUGCCACUGUAACCCUUCAAUAAUAGAAGGGAAAAAGUAUGUGGCUUCUAUGCAUCAGUUGUUCGGUAGAUUGGAGAAUGAUAAUUGGAGAAGCCACAUCUAUAGACUUGUGCAGAAAAAGAUGCACCUGCCUGGAAUGUGGAAAAUUGAGCUUGCAUAAUAGUAUAAAUUUGAGAAUCUGAGCUAUGGUGCUGGAGCUUUAUGAUAGGUAAAGAUGCAUUUUUUGAUCUCAUAUAUCUAGUUUCUCAAUUUUCAAACUCGUAUCUUUGUUGAGAAAUCCCGAGAUUAUUGCAAUCCAAAAACGCA